UACGAAGGGGGCUAGCGUUGCUCGGAAUCACUGGGCGUAAAGGGUGCGUAGGCGGGUUUUUAAGUCAGGGGUGAAAUCCUGGAGCUCAACUCCAGAACUGCCUUUGAUACUGAAGAGCUUGAGUUCGGGAGAGGUGAGUGGAACUGCGGGUGUAGAGGUGAAAUUCGUAGAUAUUCGCAAGAACACCAGUGGCGAAGGCGGCUCACUGGCCCGAUACUGACGCUGAGGCACGAAAGCGUGGGGAGCAAACAGG
rnacentral:rRNA from 1 species